UACGGAGGGUGCAAGCGUUAUCCGGAUUUACUGGGUUUAAAGGGUGUGUAGGCGGCUUUUUAAGUCAGAGGUGAAAUCUCCAGGCUCAACCUGGAAACUGCCCCUGAUACUAUUAGUCUUGAAUAUUGAUGAGGUGGGCGGAACGGGUCAUGUAGCGGUGAAAUGCUUAGAGAUGACCCGGAACACCAAUUGCGAAGGCAGCUCACUGGGCAAUUAUUGACGCUGAGGCACGAAAGCGUGGGGAUCAAACAGG
rnacentral:rRNA from 1 species